AUGGGCAAGGAAAAUCGGACUCAGAAAAGAAUUGAUUUGGUGUUUAAAAGGAAAAGAGAUGAUACAAUUGAAGUUGAGGAAGACCAAGUAUUGCCCUUGCUUGAAUUGGAACAGCAACAACCUGAACAACAACAUAACCAAGAUGGAGGAGUUCGAACAAAUGAAGUUGUUACAUUUCGGGGUAUUGAGUUCUUGCAGCGGGAUCCUGGAUUGCGCCCUCAAAUUUGGCAAUAUCCACCAGACCAGAGAGAUAUCGUCAGGAGAGCAUAUUUGAUGUUAGGUCCUAUGCAACCCCGUCUAGAGAACUAUAAACCUUCUGGUGAACUAGGGCAUCAACGCCGCUUCCAAUAUAGUUGGUUUGGUGAUUUUCCGUCAUGGCUAGAGUAUUCAGAGGAGAAAAGUUGUGUGUAUUGUCUAUAUUGCUUUGUCUCCAAUAACAAAGAGAAUACACGAGGUGGUUCUCAUGUGUUCACGGUACAUGGAUUUGACAGUUGGAAGAGGGUUUGUGGGAAACAUUGUGCAUUCUUGACCCACAUAGGAUCUGGACCAUGCUCACCACACAACAAUGCAGUCACUAGUGGUCAUGCCUUAAUGAAACAACCAUGCCACAUAGAGAAUGUUAUGGCUGUGAGGGACAAGGAGAAGGUGGAAAGAAAUCGUUUGCGGCUGAAAGUCUCAAUUGCGGUUGUUAAGUGGCUUGCAUUCCAAGCUUGUGCUUUUAGAGGGCAUGAUGAGAGACCACAGUCAAAGAAUCAAGGAAACUUUCUUGAAAUGGUGAAGCUUCUUGCAGAAUUUAAUCCUGAGAUUGCCAAAGUUGUGUUGGGAAAUGCUCCAUACGGCGCAAAAUACACAUCACAUGAUAUCCAGAAUGAGAUCUUGAGUAUAUUUGCAUCUAAAAUCAGGAAGCAUAUUCGUGAGGAAGUUGGAGAUUAUAAGUAUUCUAUUUUAGUGGAUGAAAUGUGUGAUGCAUCAAAGAGAGAGCAAAUGGCUUUGGUUCUUAGGUUUGCUGAUAAAGGUGGUAUUUUGCAAGAGAGAUUCUUUGAUUUGAUACAUGUAGCGAACACGAGGUCUUUGACACUGAAAAAUGAGUUGAGCUUUGUUUUGUCAAACAACGGUUUUGAUAUUCAGAACCUUCGAGGACAAGGUUAUGACGGCGCUAGUAAUAUGAGAGGCGAGUUAAAUGGAUUGCAAGCUCUUUUCCUCCACGAAUGCCCAUAUGCUUAUUAUGUCCAUUGUUAUGCCCAUCGCUUGCAACUUGCUCUAGUUGAUGCAUCUAAAGAAGUGGUUCCUAUCUCCCAGUUCUUUCAGAAAUUGAUCUUUAUCAUAAACACGGUUGACUCAUCUUCAAAGCGCCAUGAUGAGCUUCAUCUUGCCCAACUAGUUGAACUAGAAAAUGGAAUCUCUAAUGCUAGCAUCGAGACAGGUCAAGGGGCAAAUCAAAUCCGCUCACUUAAGCGACCAGGAGACACAAGGUGGGGUUCUCAUUUUGGUUCAGUUUAUAGCCUUAUGAAGAUGUUUGGUCCAGUUUGUUCAGUUAUCCAAGAUAUAGCCGCCGAUGGAUCAAUUGGCUCAAUUCGUGCAGAUGCAGACACUUCUUUUGGCUACUUGUCCUCAUUUGAGUUCAUUUUUAUCUUAUGUUUGAUGAAGGAAAUCUUUGAAAUAACAGAAUUGCUUGGCCAAGCUUUACAAAAGAAAUCACAAGAUAUUGUGAAUGCUGUCCGCCUAGUUUCCUCAACAAAACAAUGUCUUCAGGAGUUGAGAUCAGAUGAUGGCUACCAAGUAUUUAUUACUACGGUUGUUGAAUUUUGUGUAAACCAUUCCAUUGACAUUCCAGACUUUGAGGAAACAUACAUCAUGCGUGGUGGUCGUGCUCGUCGUCAACCUGAUCAGUUCACCAAGGAGCAUUACUUUCGAGUGGAAAUUUUCUUCUCAACACUGGACACUCAACUAUUUGAAUUAAGCCGAAGAUUCAAUGAUAAGAUGCUUCCAAGGAUGAUGAUUUGA
rnacentral:rRNA from 1 species